rnacentral:rRNA from 1 species
UACGUAGGGUGCGAGCGUUGUCCGGAAUUAUUGGGCGUAAAGAGCUCGUAGGCGGUGUGUCACGUCGGCCGUGAAAACCUGGGGCUUAACUCUGGGCGUGCGGUCGAUACGGGCAUCACUAGAGUUCGGCAGGGGAGACUGGAAUUCCUGGUGUAGCGGUGAAAUGCGCAGAUAUCAGGAGGAACACCGGUGGCGAAGGCGGCGUUCUGGACUGCUACUGACACUGAGGAACGAAAGCCAGGGGAGCAAACGGG